CCCUUAGACGUUCUGGGCCGCACGCGCGCUACACUGACCAGUGCAACAAGCAUCCGUCCUUGGCCGACAGGCUCGGGCAAUCUUUGAACGCUGGUCGUGAUGGGGAUAGACUUUUGCAAUUUUUGGUCUUCAGCGAGGAAUUCCUAGUAAACGCAAGUCAUCAACUUGCAUUGAUUACGUCCCUGCCCUUUGUACACACCGCCCGUCGCACCUACCGAUUGAAUGGUCCGGUGAAGCCUCCGGAUUGGCGCGCACCUCGGUGCCGCCGAGAAGUUGGCUAAACCUUACCAUUUAGAGGAAGGUGAAGUCGUAACA
rnacentral:rRNA from 1 species